rnacentral:rRNA from 1 species
AUUGAACGCUGGCGGCAUGCCUUACACAUGCAAGUCGAACGGCAGCACGGGAGCUUGCUCCUGGUGGCGAGUGGCGAACGGGUGAGUAAUACAUCGGAACGUACCCAGGAGUGGGGGAUAACGUAGCGAAAGUUACGCUAAUACCGCAUAUUCUGUGAGCAGGAAAGCGGGGGAUCGCAAGACAUCGCGCUCUUGGAGCGGCCGAUGUCGGAUUAGCUAGUUGGUGAGGUAAAAGCUCACCGAGGCAACGAUCCGUAGCAGGUCUGAGAGGAUGAUCUGCCACACUGGGACUGAGACACGGCCCAGACUCCUACGGGAGGCAGCAGUGGGGAAUUUUGGACAAUGGGGGCAACCCUGAUCCAGCCAUGCCGCGUGAGUGAAGAAGGCCUUCGGGUUGUAAAGCUCUUUCGGCGGGGAAGAAAUGGCAACGGCUAAUAUCCGUUGUUGAUGACGGUACCCGCAUAAGAAGCACCGGCUAACUACGUGCCAGCCGCCGCGGUAAUAC